AAUCCCUAAUUCCAGGAUCAAUGGGAACAUGCAGAGAUUAUUGCUGGAGCCCAAUCCCUUCCCCCCAGUGUCUCCACACACAGAGAGCAGGAAUCCCUAAUUCCAGGAUCAAUGGGAACAUGCAGAGAUUAUUGCUGGAGCCCAAUCCCUUCCCCCCCAGUGUCUGCACACACAGAGAGCAGGAAUCCCUAAUUCCAGGAUCAAUGGGAACAUGCAGAGAUUAUUGCUGGAGCCCAAUCCCUUCCCCCCAGUGUCUCCACACACAGAGAGCAGGAAUCCCUAAU